rnacentral:rRNA from 1 species
UACGGAGGGGGCUAGCGUUGCUCGGAAUCACUGGGCGUAAAGCGCACGUAGGCGGGUUGUUAAGUCGGGGGUGAAAUCCUGGAGCUCAACUCCAGAACUGCCUUCGAUACUGGCGACCUUGAGUCCGGGAGAGGUGAGUGGAACUCCGAGUGUAGAGGUGAAAUUCGUAGAUAUUCGGGAGAACACCAGUGGCGAAGGCGGCGCUCUGGACCGAGACUGACGCUGAGGCGCGAAAGCGUGGGGAGCAAACAGG